CGCGUUAACCUCACGCGAGAGCAUGUAUUAUUUUUCCCCGCUAGGUGGCUAAUCAAGUCCGAAACAUACAAAUAUAAAAAAAAGUAAUUAAAAGAGAUAAAAGCAUACGAGACAUUAAAGGAUAGCGGCUGACAAGAAGCAAGACAAACAUUAAAAGAAGACUUUUGGCCGGACAAAGACAUCUCCCUGGGCUUUGUGAAACAGUUAUGCACCUGGCAGACGUCUCCUGGGGUUACGGCUCUCCAGGAAAGCAGCUGAUGACACACAUAGCAACAAUCCGGGACACUUCCAGGACUCCACAGUCCUAAGAUGGUGCACCAGGAGGUCAAGCUGUGGUUCACAGAGCAGACGUAGGUCACCGCUACGGGAUACCUGAACCCCAUGACAGCAGAGAGCCUGCUCAGUGCUGGAGGCAGAGAUGUCCAAGAGUCUCCAGGCUGCGUUGGGGUUCAGCUCCUCCUGGUCACGACACAGCGCCCAAACAUACAUCAUCCUC